rnacentral:rRNA from 1 species
UGAGGAAUAUUGGUCAAUGGGCGAGAGCCUGAACCAGCCAAGUCGCGUGAAGGAAGACAGUCCUAAGGAUUGUAAACUUCUUUCAUACGGGAAUAACGGGCGAUACGAGUAUUGCAUUGAAUGUACCGUAAGAAUAAGCAUCGGCUAACUCCGUGCCAGCAGCCGCGGUAAUACGGAGGAUGCGAGCGUUAUCCGGAUUUAUUGGGUUUAAAGGGUGCGUAGGUUGUUCGGUAAGUCAGCGGUGAAACCUGAGCGCUCAACGUUCAGCCUGCCGUUGAAACUGCCGGGCUUGAGUUCAGUGGCGGCAGGCGGAAUUCGUGGUGUAGCGGUGAAAUGCAUAGAUAUCACGGGGAACUCCGAUUGCGAAGGCAGCUUGCCAUACUGCGACUGACACUGAAGCACGAAGGCGUGGGUAUCAAACAGG